rnacentral:tRNA from 1 species
UAUGUUUUAGUAUAUUUUGUAUAUUAAUUUUUGAUAUUAAUGGAAAUAGUUUAAUACUAUUAGGCAUAA